rnacentral:tRNA from 1 species
CCGGUAGCUCAGCUGGUAGAGCAACUGACUUUUAAUCAGUAGGUCUCGGGUUCGAACCCCG